UCCACUCUCCACUCUCCAGUGUAUUUUAAACUCGCCAAUCUUUUCAAUUUAGGGUUUUCAAAUUCAACUCCAACGGUAACAAUUAAGGUUUUGCACUGUAAAUUAGAGUGUUGAAUAGCAUGGAGCAGAGCGGAUGUGAAGAAAGAGGGAGAAAAGUUUCUGAUUUGAAGUGUGAAAAGAUUAUCCUUUCGGUUGAUGAAUCAACUCAAAAACCAGAAACUAUUGAAACCCGGAAAAGUUUGGAAGCUAGCAUGUUUGCAUCUCAAACACCUGCCAAGACGAAUGAGCCUUUGCAUGCUAAAUUCAGAGAAGGAGAACUUGAAAUUUUAGAAAGGCACAAGACAAUUGUAGAACUCUUUGAUAGUAUGAAUUGUUCAUUGAGGUUGCUGGUUAUGAGAAAAAAGUCACCUACUUUUCAAAAUAUAUCUGCCCAAGUUGAAGUCUUGACUCAAAGGAAGUUCUCUUACGGACAUCUUGCACGGAUAAAAUAUUUACUUCCUGAAGCUAUACAGAUGGAUAAGAUUCUUGUGCAUGACAAGAAAUCCCUGUGCAUGAAGCCAGAUAUGAAAAUCGGAGUGCUGUUUGAUGUUGUAGAAGGCCACGAUGAGGAAUCUGAUUUUAUUGCUCUGCGCCAAGUUUUCGCUUCUAGGCUUGUUGAUUACUUUAUAAAGCAUCCUGAGGCCUGUGAUAUCCCACAGGCUAUAUUACCAGGUCCAUUUAACCAAAGUAAGGAGGCUGCUUUUGAGGACAAGGCUGGUGACCAUUCAAUGGCUGUCUUUUGUGAGCCCUUUAAUGAAAUAAGUGAGAUCAUUGCUCCAGAACCAAUGAUCACAGAUCAAUCAAGAGAAUAUCUGCCAGCUGCCAUUGAAAGUCAGAUGUUGUCCACUCCAUCCCAUCUACGCCCAUCUUUCAAUAGGCACUUCUCUCAGAAGACUUUUUCUGAAGAGGAGAAGGUGCAACUGUUAGCAUCUCCCGUUCCUUCAUCAGUUUCACCAUCUGGCGAUCUGCAUAAUGAGCAUCUCAAUGAAGCAAGAACUGGAGAAUUUCCUGAGUUUUGUUCUAAAUUUAAUUUUAAGACCAACCUGGACAUCAAAAGCGAACGAGCAAGACAAUCGUGCAUACCAUAUUCCAAAUUUACUUCUUUCAAUCCUCUGCCUAGCCAACCAAUCAAUCCUGAAGUCUCUGCUGAUGUGUAUACUUCUACCAGCCCCAAGUGUAAACCUGACUCAUCUGUUGAUAAAUUACUGUUAGAAACACCUGCACAGUCAACUCCAAGGAGAGCAAUGGAUAGCUCUGAUGACAAGCACAAGGACACUACUGGCCAAAAGCAGACAUUAUCUUGUAAGCCUGCAAAAAGGGUGCUAGAUUUCUCAUACAUGGAAGCCGAUAAAGGUGCAUCAGAAUACUAUGAAUUCUUACAUGAUAGUAGCACUCAACCUCUUGCUGGCUCUUCUUCACUACUUAAAAAGGUGGAGGGAAGCCUUGGUCACUCAUCUGUAGAUCAGAAAACCUGUCAGUCUGAUACAGUGCACCAGCAGAUGUCUAUUCAGUUGCCUGACCUAGUUUCUCUGGUUCACCACAUAUUCCAGUCAGUUAACUUCUCCCCAAUUACAAAGGAGGAACUUGUGCACAAGAUAAUUCUAGAUAGUUUAGAUAUUGUUGACAGAAGUAGGUCACGAUGGGUCUCCCUUUAUAGCAGCACCCUUCGUAUUUUUCUCAUUGAAUCAUUGGUUAGUGAACUCACUCAGUCUACUUUUACAGUGGCGGUUGAAGAACAGAUUGGGAUUCUUGAAAAGCGAGUUCCAGAUUGGAUUUGCAGGUUACCAGCACCUAGUGGUGAUGUCUUGUACAAGUGGGUGUAUCACACAUCUCUUUGAUCUCUUAUGCAACUAUCUAUCCAUGAGGAGAACUGUAAAGAAAAUAUUGUGGGGGGCACCUAGACAUUAGAAGAUGGAUAUGCAUGUUUCUCUGUAUACGUGAAUAUUUUGCAAAUGUGUAUAACAGGUCACAACUAAACAUGUUAAUCUGUUUAUUUUGAGGAUCAAGAAAAUGUCAGACUUGGAAACAGUUCAGGCGAUGGUACUCAUAGCAUAGGUCAAUAUCUAAAGGUAUCUUGAUUUAGUACAAGUUGUUCUGGCACUAGAAGGGAAAUGUAAUUUGAUGCAUGGACUCGGACCCAGAGUUCUCGCUAAUCCCAUCCUCCCCCAAUAAUUUGCUUUCUUGCUUAAUUAUAUAGACACAGUAGAUUUUUAGUCGCAUAGGGAGGCGUCAACCAGAUGGUGCAGAGCGAAACUUGUAUUUGACUCGACUGAUCGUUGAAUGUUAUGUUAGUAGGGUGAUCUCUGCUUCCAUUUUUAUCCA